rnacentral:lncRNA from 1 species
AGCGACAGUGAGGAGCAGGACCUCGAGGCUGACUUCUCCGAAUACGUGGACCCUCCCCUUGACUAGUCGGCCCGUAGCGGGUGUUUUUUUUUCUUUUUUCGUACGGGAAGAACAAUUAUCCCUGCAUUGUAAUAAUACUUAACUUUUUUCCUGUUUUUUUUACUUGCUUGUUUUCUCUCGUUUUUGGUUCGGCCGUCGAUCCGCUUACUUGCCUUUCCCUUUCGCUUUCGUUUCCCUACUUAUCUUUCGCUUUCGCCCUCUCUCUUCCUUCAAUCGCUUUUUUUCUUAGAGAAGCGGCCUGGGUCCUUCGGACGUUCCCG